CCUACGGGAGGCAGCAGUGAGGAAUCUUGGUCAAUGGGCGCGAGCCUGAACCAGCCAAGUCGCGUGAGGGAAGACGGUCCUCUGGAUUGUAAACCUCUUUUGUCGGGGAGCAAAAGACGCAACGCGUGUCGUUCCGAGAGUACCCGAAGAAAAAGCAUCGGCUAACUCCGUUCCAGCAGCAGCGGUAAUACGGGGGAUGCGAGCGUUAUCCGGAUUUAUUGGGUUUAAAGGGGGCGCAGGCGGAACAUCACGUCAGCGGUAAAAUUGAGAGGCUCAACCUCUUCGAGCCGUUGAAACGGUUUGUCUUGAGUGAGCGAGAAGUGAGCGGAAUGCGUGGUGUAGCGGUGAAAUGCAUAGAUAUCACGCAGAACUCCGAUUGCGAAGGCAGCAUACCGGCGCUCAACUGACGCUCAGGCACGAAAGUGUGGGUAGCGAACAGGAUUAGAGACCCUUGUAGUC
rnacentral:rRNA from 1 species